rnacentral:hammerhead_ribozyme from 1 species
AUCCAACUGACGAGUCCCGAAUAGGACGAAACGCGAAUUAAACUGGAU